rnacentral:lncRNA from 1 species
GACUCCGUUGUGGAGAUUCCAGGCCCUCGUGCUUUGAAGGAUUUGACCGGUCAGGAGUGCCGGUCCCAAAUGGAAUUGCAGAUCGCCUCUGUCGACCUGCGCAGGUACGAUGCUAUGGACAUGGGGGACCUAGCUUUCGACAUGUGCCUUGGUGUGGAGCAGGUAAGUUACGUGUGUUCUUAUUUUAUGUACAAUUUUUUUUAUGUGUGGUAUUUUUGUUUAUGCCGUGAACUGUAAUUGUGUCUGUGCAGUUGCGAGUAAAAUGUUUGUCAGCCUCCCGCCAUAUGACCCGGGCUGCCUCCUGGUCUCCGUGAGAAGGAGGAAGAGCUCAUGGCCUCUUUGGCUGAUAACUCCAAGCUACAAGAGCAGCUGCGUCAAGCCCAAGCUGAGCUAGCAAAGGUGAAGGUGGAGAAGGAGUCCAUCGACACUGAGUUUGCUCGUGUAACCAGGGAG